UGUCGUGAGAUGUUGGGUUAAGUCCCGCAACGAGCGCAACCCUUGAUCUUAGUUGCCAGCACUUCGGNUGGGCACUCUAAGGUGACUGCCGGUGACAAACCGGAGGAAGGUGGGGAUGACGUCAAAUCAUCAUGCCCCUUAUGACCUGGGCUACACACGUACUACAAUGGCCGGUACAACGGGCUGUGAAGCCGCGAGGUGGAACGAAUCCUAAAAAGCCGGUCUCAGUUCGGAUUGCAGGCUGCAACUCGCCUGCAUGAAGUCGGAAUUGCUAGUAAUCGCGGAUCAGCAUGCCGCGGNUGAAUACGUUCCCGGGUCUUGUACACACCGCCCGUCACACCACGAAGAGUUUAUAACACCCGAAGUCGGUGGGGUAACCGCAAGGAGCCAGCCGCCGAAGGUGGGAUAGAUG
rnacentral:rRNA from 1 species